rnacentral:rRNA from 1 species
GCUCAGGACGAACGCUGGCGGCGUGCCUAACACAUGCAAGUCGAACGAGAAUCUUUGAACAGAUCUUUUCGGAGUGACGUUCAAAGAGGAAAGUGGCGGACGGGCGAGUAACGCGUGAGUAACCUGCCCAUAAGAGGGGGAUAAUCCAUGGAAACGUGGACUA